UAACAUAUGAAGAGAGGUCAGGAGAAAAAUGUACUUUGUCCAUUUUAGAUAAUCUUUUGAGUUAUUUCAAUUUUAACAUUAUUUUGUUAUGAGAACAAAUUUUCACAGUUGCCGAUAAUCAUUACCUCAAGAACUAAUUUUAUUUGUACCAAAAAUGUUUGUAUUGUUGAAGUGCUAAUUUGGCAAGGAAAAAGUGUACUUUGUCUCUUAUUUGUAAUGUGAUGAGUUUUCUAUAUCUUGCAACUCACACAAAAGUGUAUAUAUGGCAAUGCAAAAGAUAUUUGCCAAAAAUUUAGCUAUAUUCUACAGUGGACAAGGCAAAAAGAAGAAAAUCCCUUUUUGCUCUAUGAAGAUUUAUGAAGCUGUUGUCUCUGCAGUUAG